GACGAACGCUGGCGGCGUGCUUAACACAUGCAAGUCGAACGGUAAGGCCCUUUCGGGGGUACACUAGUGGCGAACGGGUGAGUAACACGUGGGUGAUCUUCCCUGCACUUUUUGAUAAGCCUGGGAACCUGGGGCUAAUACCGGAUAUGACUACUCGAUGCAUCUCGUGUGGUGGAAAGCUCUUGCGGUGUUGGAUGGGCCCGCGGCCUAUCAGCUUGUUGGUGGGGUGAUGGCGUACCAAGGCGACGACGGGUAGCCGGCCUGAGAGGGUGUCCGGCCACACUGGGACUGAGAGACGGCCCAGACUCCUACGGGAGGCAGCAGUGGGGAAUAUUGCACAAUGGGCGCAAGCCUGAUGCAGCGACGCCGCGUGGGGGAUGACGGCCUGCGGGUUGUAAACCCCUUUCAGCACAGACGAAGCGUAAGUGACGGUAUGUGCAGAAGAAGCACCGGCUAACUACGUG
rnacentral:rRNA from 1 species